AUGAACGCUGCGGCGUGGAUAAGGCAUGCAAGUCGAGCGGGUUUAGGCCCGCGGCGAACGAGGUAGUAACACGUGGGAAUUUCCCCCAGAGUCGAGGAUAUCCCGGCGAAAGCCGGAGCAAUACCCGAUGGUCUCUACGGAGUAAAGUCGCAAGACGCUCUGGGAAAAGCCUGCGAAGUAUCAGCUAGUUGGUAGGGUAAUGGCCUACCAAGGCGAUGACGCUUAGGGGAGCUGAGAGGCUGACCCCCACCGAUGGGACUGAGAUACGGCCCAUACACCUACGGGUGGCUGCAGUCGAGAAUCUUCCGCAAUGGGCGAAAGCCUGACGGAGCGACGCCGCGUGAUGGAUGAAGUUCUUCGGGACGUAAACAUCUUUUAUUAGGGAAGAACUAAAGUGACGGUACCUAAUGAAUAAG
rnacentral:rRNA from 1 species